rnacentral:tRNA from 2 species
GCGGGAGUGCCCGAGCGGUUAAGGGGGCGGACUCAAGAUCCGCUGGCGAAGGCCAUCCGGGGUCCGAAUCCCCGCUCCCGCA